GUCCCCUCGAGAGCCUGGUUCAGGCUUACAGCGCCUUGUCCGGCGAAGGGCAGGGCUGGGCACCACGUAGCUGCUGGUCGAGGAAAUUGACGCCUGCACUGCAGGCAACGGGUGAACCAGUAGCGGUGGCUAUGGGGAGGCUCCGCCCACCCGUGUGAACAUCAUGACGUUGCUUUUUUGCAACAUUUUAAGCCUCUGUGCAUGCAAUACAUGCACACAUUGGCGAACCAGUAGGGAAGAGUUCCUCAGCCAGCAAAGCAGGCAGAUUGAGUUGCUCACUGAGGAGAUGGAUUGCAGGCAAGCAGAUUUAGUUGCUAGCUGAUACAACUGAUGUAAAGCAUGGCUUUGCCAAUCUGAAAGGAGCAGUAAAUAGGAUCUUCCCAGAUAUUGAUGUCAGGCUGAUUGGUCUUUAGUUUCCUGGAUCUGUUUUUUUUCCUUUUUUGAAAAUGGGAACCACAUCGGCUGUUUUCUAGUCCUCAGUAAAAAUAUGAUACAAUAGUUCAGAGAUCACAUCUGUCAGCUUCUUCAGAACUCUGGAAUGUAAUCUGUCAGGUCCCGGUGAUUUGUAUUGUCUAGAACAGUAUUGUUUAUCUUAUUUGUCAAUGACAUUGUAAAGCUUUUAGUGUCCUUGAUUCUAACUUAACAAAAUCAAAGUGAAUGACCAAAUCUGACCUAAGGUUCAAAAACAAUACCUGCAUCAAUCUAAUGAUAACUUACAAACAAGAAAGAAUGAUUGUCAAGUCUGCAGAGAAAUAUUACAACUAGUACAACAAUACUUUCACAAUCAAAUUUGGUCCAUUAUCAGAUAGAUAAAGAACUAAUAGUAAGAUGCUCUGACAUAUUGAAUUAGUAACCAUACAAUACGCUCCUCUGUGUGUUUUCUUGGGGGUAGAUAACCAUGGACCCAAUACACCACUCAUUUAGAUGAAGGACAGAUAUGAAAAUUAGAUGUAACUCCUUUUGUUAGUGCAAAAUAUCUUGCACUAAAGCUUUAGUCCUUAGUAAGUAUGGAUUAGAUUGGCAUUUGAUUAACUGAGCCAUACUAUAUGCUAGAAUGAAAAACAUUUAUACCCACAGAAUAGGACUUAUGAAAUAAAAUAAAUUAUGAGACCUUAUGAAACUCAGUAGCAUACAAUGUCAAUACAGCAGACUCAACACCAGCCCGCAAGAUUUGUAAUGGUCCCCAUCCUGGUUUAUUUAAAUGAGACUUUAAAAUUUGGCUUAAUCCCAAGAUCUUCUGUUAGGAUCAUUAAAGGACCUCUUGUAUGGUGUUCUGGUUUUUCAAAAUG